CCUACGGGAGGCAGCAGUGAGGAAUAUUGGUCAAUGGGCGCGAGCCUGAACCAGCCAAGUAGCGUGAAGGAUGACUGCCCUACGGGUUGUAAACUUCUUUUAUAAAGGAAUAAAGUGAGGCACGUGUGCCUUUUUGUAUGUACUUUAUGAAUAAGGAUCGGCUAACUCCGUGCCAGCAGCCGCGGUAAUACGGAGGAUCCGAGCGUUAUCCGGAUUUAUUGGGUUUAAAGGGAGCGUAGAUGGGUUGUUAAGUCAGUUGUGAAAGUUUGCGGCUCAACCGUAAAAUUGCAAUUGAUACUGGCAGUCUUGAGUGGGCGAGAAGUAUGCGGAAUGCGUGGUGUAGCGGUGAAAUGCAUAGAUAUCACGCAGAACUCCGAUUGCGAAGGCAGCAUACCGGCGCCCAACUGACGCUGAAGCACGAAAGCGUGGGUAUCGAACAGGAUUAGAUACCCUAGUAGUC
rnacentral:rRNA from 1 species